AUGUUGUUCUAGUUUCUUUAAACUAAAUAUUUUUAAAGUUAUUGAUGGUUAAAGUUAUAAAAGUUUGACCUUAACCUUGUUCAAAACGUUAAUUAUUAUAGAACCGGAGGGAGUAGGAUGCAAAAUAAGCUGGUCUUGAUAGUUGAGAGAUAUUUUAUAUUUGGUUUAACGGUUGAGAGAUGCUUAUCAAUUUGGGCAAUAUAUGAGGGGUCACAAAAAGACUUUUGAAAGGCUUUUAUGGGCCAAUGCAGGUGCGGAAUCCGUCUUGGGCAGAGUAUGUGUCAUGGGCCGUGCAAUGGCUCACCGCUUAUUGGGCUUUUUCGCGCAGCGUGUGAGAGGCCGGAAUGGGGGGAAUGGGAUGGAAAAGGUACACCGAAGGUCCCUCAACUUGUCAUCGGAAUAUAAAAACAAUCUCGAACCGCAAAACCAGAUAUUUGGGAUCCCUUAACUAUAUAAGACCGGUCACCCGAGGUUCUUCGGUGGUUUUGACCCGGUUCUAGUCUACGUGGCAGCUAAAUCAGCGUGGGACCCAUGUGAGACCCACGUGUCAGUGUGCCACGUCAACAGCCUUUAUUUCCCAUCUUCUCUCCCCCCCUCUCUCUCUCAAUCUUGUCUCUGCAGGGCGCCGGCGGGUGGGGAGGAGGCCGGCGGGGAGCUCCUCCUGCGUGGCCGCGAGCUCCGCGUCAAAGGGUGGUGGGUGCUGCCGGUCAAGGCGCACCACGCCGCGGGGCGGCUGACGGGCGCCGCGUCCGCCAUGCUUGCCAUCGCAGCCUGCGGGAAGCCUCUGCAGCAUGGCGCCGUUGCGCGGGGCCAAGCGCCGGAGAAGAAGGCUACAAUGGCGGCGGCCGCUGCGGCGGGUGGCGUGCCCAGAGCAGAUUGCGAGGCGGAUCGACGCCGACGGCGCGCCGGGGGAGAGCACAGCGCUGCGGGCGCGCUCCUACGGCUGCAUCCGGGUGUUCCUCGUCCUAUCCCUGCUGCUGCUCGCCGUCGAGGUCGCCGCCUACCUCUAGGGGCCUUGCUCCCCCCGCCGCCGCCUACCUCGGCCAGGAGGACGGGGGAGCUCCGUUUUCGUACCCAGCCACCGCGACCCCAUCUUGAAUAUUGAUACAUACUCUGAAUUUUGAGAGCUUUUGGUGUGUGUUCUUGUUUCA